GACUGCUCCGGUGGCCUAAUGGUUAGAGCGUCCGCCUCGGAUGCGGAAGGUGUUGGAUUCGAACACCGGCAGAGUCA